rnacentral:rRNA from 1 species
UACGGAGGGUGCGAGCGUUGUCCGGAAUCAUUGGGCGUAAAGGGCGCGUAGGUGGCCCGGUCAGUCCGUGGUGAAAGCGCGGGGCUCAACCCCGCGUCGGCCAUGGAUACUGCUGGGCUGGAGCACUGUAGAGGCAGGCGGAAUUCCGGGUGUAGCGGUGGAAUGCGUAGAGAUCCGGAAGAACACCGGUGGCGAAGGCGGCCUGCUGGGCAGUUGCUGACACUGAGGCGCGACAGCCAGGGGAGCAAACGGG